rnacentral:rRNA from 1 species
UGGCGAACGGGUGAGUAAUAUAUCGGAACGUACCCGGAAAUGGGGGAUAACGUAGCGAAAGUUACGCUAAUACCGCAUAUGCCCUGAGGGGGAAAGCGGGGGAUUCGUAAGAACCUCGCGUUUUCGGAGCGGCCGAUAUCGGAUUAGCUAGUAGGUGAGGUAAAGGCUCACCUAGGCGACGAUCCGUAGCUGGUCUGAGAGGACGACCAGCCACACUGGAACUGAGACACGGUCCAGACUCCUACGGGAGGCAGCAGUGGGGAAUUUUGGACAAUGGGCGCAAGCCUGAUCCAGCCAUGCCGCGUGAGUGAAGAAGGCCUUCGGGUUGUAAAGCUCUUUCAGCCGGAAAGAAAACGCACGGGUUAAUACCCUGUGUGGAUGACGGUACCGGAAGAAGAAGCACCGGCUAACUACGUGCCAGCAGCCGCGGUAAUACGUAGGGUGCGAGCGUUAAUCGGAAUUACUGGGCGUAAAGCGUGCGCAGGCGGUUUUGUAAGACAGAUGUGAAAUCCCCGGGCUUAACCUAGGAACUGCAUUU